GCUAGCAGUAUUUUCCUAAACACACUGAUGGUUAGGGCCACCCCAGUAGAAUUUUUGCAGUUACAUUAUUUUACAGAGUCCAUUGCUAACGAAUAUGGAACUGACACUCUGUGUGUGACUUACUUUUAAGAACCUUCCUUUUGCCUGUUCUGAAUUAUUUUUUCAAAAGAAAACAUCUUUUUUAUUUGGAAGAAAACUUCAUAUGUCUAUUUAUCGAGGCAUCUGCCCAUACAGGUGUGAUUGAUAAAGCACGAGAGAUCCCUACUCCAGCCAGGGUCUUUUUUUGCAGGGUAGCAGUACCCUAGGAGACCACCAGAGGGACUAUCCUGAUGGCUUGAAAGCCAGGAAGAAGCUGCAGAAGGACUCCGACUAGGAUGGAUUUUCUGAUCAAGAACAGGUGGGGACCAAAAGAAAACCUGGGUGUGGCAGAACAUGCCAGAGCUGCGCUAUGAGGACUGUGGUUUGGCACUCUCGUGGACUACAUGCAUUCUGUGUGGGACAAACUGUGAGGCUUCCAAGGACUAUGUGUGUUAUGCGGAAUAAUAAACUAGCCCUGGGAAGGGGUAAUAGUGGACACAA